rnacentral:rRNA from 1 species
AAGGUUUCCGUAGGUGAACCUGCGGAAGGAUCAUUAUUGAAUAACUAAGGCGCUGUGCUGGCCCUCUCGGGGGGAAUGUGCACGCGCCUUUUUAUUAUCAUCUUCUUGUGAACCAGUGUAGUCGUAGAGGAUUGUUGCCUUGAGCGUGAAAGCGUUCUAUAUGGCUUCGUUCCAACGCGUCUAUGAUUUUAUAUACCAAAUUUUAAACCUAGAAUGUCAUUUUGCUUGACCGAAAAGUCAGUGAAACCUAUACAACUUUCAGCAACGGAUCUCUUGGCUCUCCCAUCGAUGAAGAACGCAGCGAAAUGCGAUAAGUAAUGUGAAUUGCAGAAUUCAGUGAAUCAUCGAAUCUUUGAACGCACCUUGCGCCCUUUGGUAUUCCGAAGGGCAUGCCUGUUUGAGUGUCAUUAAAUUCUCAACCUUGAACCAGUUUGCUCUGGUUUCAAGGCUUGGAUGUGAGGGCUUUGCUGGCUUCCUUCAGUGGCGGUCUGCUCCCUUUAAAUGCAUUAGUGGGAUCCUUUGUGGACGGUCACUUGGUGUGAUAAUUUAUCUACGCCUAUCGACCUGAAGCAAAACCUAUGGGAACCCGCUCAUAACCGUCCCUUGUGGACAAUUUUCUGACCAUUUGACCUCAAAUCAGGUAGGACUACCCGCUGAACUUAAGCAUAUCAAUAAGCGGAGGAAAAGAAACUAACAAGGAUUCCCCUAGU